rnacentral:rRNA from 1 species
UCGCUUGUCUCAAAGAUUAAGCCAUGCAUGUCGUAGUACUUGCUUUUCUUUACGAAUGAGCGAAACCGCGGACGGCUCAUUAAAUCGGUUACGGUUCACUCGCCCGUCCGCGUCCUGCUCUGUCAGGGCGUAGUCGGAUAACUGUGGUAAUUCUAGAGCUAAUACGUGCAACUUACGGCUUCCGAGAAAAUCGGGGGCUGGCAUUUAUUAGUCUGGCGUGCGCGGCCUUUAAGGUUUCGCGCGCCUGACGGCUCUGAAUAACGGUGGCGGAUCGUCCUCUUCUGAGGACGACCGGGCUUUUGAGUGUCCGCCUUAUCAACUUUCGACGGUAGGUUCAGCGCCUACCGUGGUGGUUACGGGUGACGGGGAAUCAGGGUUCGAUUCCGGAGAGGGAGCCUGAAAGACGGCUACCACAUCCAAGGAAGGCAGCAGGCACGCAAAUUACCCACUCUCCGAAAGAGAGGAGGUAGUGACGAAAAAUAACGAUACGGGACUCUUAACGAGGCCUCGUAAUCGGAAUGAGACCGCUUCAAAUCCUCGAGACGAGGAUCUAUCGGAGGGCAAGUCUGGUGCCAGCAGCCGCGGUAAUUCCAGCUCCGAUAGCGUAUAUUAAAGUCGCUGCGGUUAAAAAGCUCGUAGUUGGAUUUGGGUCGACCGGGCCGCCGGGCCGCCGCCCCCGUGCGGCGAGUUCCCGUGCGUCCCCGGGACCGCACGUUCACCCCCGCGGUGCUCUUAACUGAGUGUCCGCGGUAGCGGGUGACCGAACGUUUACCUUGACAAAACCGGAGUGCUCGAGGCGUGGGCGUUCGCCGCCCGUACGUCCUCGCUGGGAAUAAUGGAAGAGGA